AUUGAACGCUGGCGGCAAGCCUAACACAUGCAAGUCGAACGGCAGCACAAAAGAGUCUACUCUUUGGGUGGCGAGUGGCGCACGGGUGAGUAAUGUCUGGGAAACUGCCCGAUGGAGGGGGAUAACUACUGGAAACGGUAGCUAAUACCGCAUAAUGUUAAUAAACCAAAGUGGGGGACCUUUUUAGGCCUCAUACCAUCGGAUGUGCCCAGAUGGGAUUAGCUAGUAGGUGAGAUAAUGGCUCACCUAGGCAACGAUCCCUAGCUGGUCUGAGAGGAUGACCAGCCACACUGGAACUGAGACACGGUCCAGACUCCUACGGGAGGCAGCAGUGGGGAAUAUUGCACAAUGGGCGCAAGCCUGAUGCAGCUAUGCCGCGUGUAUGAAGAAGGCCUUCGGGUUGUAAAGUACUUUCAGCGGGGAGGAAGGCGAUCUAGCUAAUAACUAAGUCGAUUGACAUUACCCGCAAAAGAAGCACCGGCUAACUCCGUGCCAGCAGCCGCGGUAAUACGGAGGGUGCUAGCGUUAAUCGGAAUUACUGGGCGUAAAGCGCAUGCAGGCGGUCUAUUAAGUCAGAUGUGAAAUCCCUGGGCUCAACCUAGGAACUGCAUUUGAAACUGAUAGACUUGAGUCUCGUAGAGGGAAGUAGAAUUCCAGGUGUAGCGGUGAAAUGCGUAGAGAUCUGGAGGAAUACCAGUGGCGAAGGCGACUUCCUGGACGAAGACUGACGCUCAGGUGCGAAAGCGUGGGGAGCAAACAGGAUUAGAUACCCUGGUAGUCCAUGCUGUAAACGAUGUCGACUUGGAAGCUGUACCUUUAAGGUGUGGUUUCCGAAGCUAACGUGUUAAGUCGACCGCCUGGGGAGUACGACCGCAAGGUUAAAACUCAAAUGAAUUGACGGGGGCCCGCACAAGCGGUGGAGCAUGUGGUUUAAUUCGAUGCAACACGAAAAACCUUACCUGGCCUUGACAUCCAAAGAACUUUUUAGAAAUAAAAAGGUGCUUUUUAAGAACUUUGAGACAGGUGCUGCAUGGCUGUCGUCAGCUCGUGUUGUGAAAUGUUGGGUUAAGUCCCGCAACGAGCGCAACCCUUAUCCUUUGUUGCCAUCGGUUUGGCCGGGAACUUAAAGGAGACUGCCGGUGAUAAACUGGAGGAAGGUGGGGACGACGUCAAGUCAUCAUGGCCCUUACGGCCAGGGCUACACACGUGCUACAAUGGUGUAUACAAAGAGCAGCAACUUCGCAAGAAAUAAGCCAAUCUCACAAAGUACACCACAGUUCGGAUUGGAGUCUGCAACUCGACUCCAUGAAGUCGGAAUCGCUAGUAAUCGUAGAUCAGCAUGCUACGGUGAAUACGUUCCCGGGCCUUGUACACACCGCCCGUCACACCAUGGAAGUGGGUUGCAAAAGAAGCAGGUAGCUUAACCUUGAUCAAAGGAGAGCGCCUACCACUUUGUGAUUCAUGACUGGGGUG
rnacentral:rRNA from 1 species